rnacentral:rRNA from 1 species
UACGUAGGGUGCGAGCGUUGUCCGGAAUUAUUGGGCGUAAAGAGCUCGUAGGCGGUCUGUCGCGUCGAUCGUGAAAACUUGGGGCUUAACCCUGAGCUUGCGGUCGAUACGGGCAUGACUGGAGUUCGGCAGGGGAGACUGGAAUUCCUGGUGUAGCGGUGAAAUGCGCAGAUAUCAGGAGGAACACCGGUGGCGAAGGCAGGUCACUGGGCCGCAACUGACGCUGAGGAGCGAAAGCAUGGGGAGCGAACAGG